AUUGAACGCUGGCGGCAGGCUUAACACAUGCAAGUCGAGCGGGGGAAGGUAGCUUGCUACCGGACCUAGCGGCGGACGGGUGAGUAAUGCUUAGGAAUCUGCCUAUUAGUGGGGGGCAACAUCUCGAAAGGGAUGCUAAUACCGCAUACGUCCUACGGGAGAAAGCAGGGGAUCUUCGGACCUUGCGCUAAUAGAUGAGCCUAAGUCGGAUUAGCUAGUUGGUGGGGUAAAGGCCUACCAAGGCGACGAUCUGUAGCGGGUCUGAGAGGAUGAUCCGCCACACUGGGACUGAGACACGGCCCAGACUCCUACGGGAGGCAGCAGUGGGGAAUAUUGGACAAUGGGGGGAACCCUGAUCCAGCCAUGCCGCGUGUGUGAAGAAGGCCUUAUGGUUGUAAAGCACUUUAAGCGAGGAGGAGGCUACUUUAGUUAAUACCUAGAGAUAGUGGACGUUACUCGCAGAAUAAGCACCGGCUAACUCUGUGCCAGCAGCCGCGGUAAUACAGAGGGUGCGA
rnacentral:rRNA from 1 species